rnacentral:tmRNA from 1 species
GGGGCUGAUCCAGGAUUCGACGGGAAUUCUGAAGUCUGAGGUGCAUGCCGUGGUGCGGUUUGCCACGUUAAAAAGCCGCAAAAAAAUAGUCGCAAACGACGAAAACUACGCACUAGCAGCUUAAUAACCUGCCAAGAGCUCUCUUGCCCUAGCUUCCGCUUGUAAGACGGGGAACAACAAGGGAUCAAACCCAAACUAGCUAGCCCGGAUUUUCCCUCCUGAGAGGAAAAGGGCGAAUACUAAUUCAGGAUAGUCAGUUACUAGCGUGUCGGUUCGCAGGUAGUUGGUGAAAUUAAAGAUCGACUAAGCAUGUAGUACCAAUGAUGAAUGAUUUUCGGACGCGGGUUCAACUCCCGCCAGCUCCACCA